UUUAACAUGCUAGUCGACGGCAGCACGAGAGACUUGUCUUCUUGGUUUCGAGUGGGGUCUGCUGAGUUAUGUUCGGUCGUGACCGUAGCGGGUGUUACUACUCGAAGAUGCUAUACAGGAUACGCCUACGGGUAGGGAUACGCUCAUUCUCCUAUGGACGCCGUUCGGUACUAGUGUGGGUAAAGCCUCCAAGCGCGACCGUGCUGUUGAGAGGCGCCACCCCUGGGCUGAGCCGGCCAGAUCUCGGGAGCACAGUGGGGAUUUUGGCAAUGGGGGAACCCUGACCAGCCUCCCGCGUGUGUGAUGAAGGCUUCGGGUUGUAAAGCACUUUUGACAGGGAAGAAAUACGGAGGCUAAUACCUCUGAAGAUGACGGUACCUGUAGAAUAAGCACCGGCUACUACGUGCCAGCAGCCGCGGUAAUACGUAGGGUGCAAGCGUUAAUCGGAAUUACUGGGCGUAAAGGGUACGCAGGCGGCUAGGAAAGAAAGAUGUGAAAUCCCAGGGCUCAACCUUGGAACUGCAUUUUUAACUACCUAGCUAGAGUAUGUCAGAGGGGGGUAGAAUUCCACGUGUAGCAGUGAAAUGCGUAGAGAUGUGGAGGAAUACCGAUGGCGAAGGCAGCCCCUGGGAUAAUACGACGCACAGUACGA
rnacentral:rRNA from 2 species